GUGCUUAAAAAGAAGGCAUAGUGGACACAGGAGAACUCUGCAGUUCAUCAGCCUCACAGCUUGGAGGAUGCACAGUGCACUGCCUGAAUAUCAUCCUCAGCCCAGUUGAGGACUGAUUGCCCCACAAACUGCUUAGUGGAGGGUUUUUUGUUUGUUUGUUUCACUAAGCUUCCUCUGCUAUCCUAUUUGUGUGUGUCCCCUGUCCCAAGUUUACAGGGGCCAUUCACAUGACCCAGCUAGUAGGACUUCCUCAACACUGAAAACAGCUGAAGAUGAAAUUGCUUCCAUCUUCUGGGAUAUGGAUUCUUCUCUGCUUUUGCACUGCAAAUGCCACCUGGUGUUUCCAAUGUAGAAAGCCACGAAAAACUGGGCAUUGUCCAGCAAAAAAGGAAUUGUGCUGGGCUGGUGGUGAAGCAGCCUGCUAUACAUUAAACCUAUAUAUUUGUAAGUGGA